CCUGCUGUUUGCGUCUGAGCCUGAGAGGGCAUUGAGCUGGGUCUCUGGCGAUAAGGACAGGUCGGGUUGAGUAACCGAAUCUGUUCCUUAUCCAAGCAACCGAUCUUUUCUGAAGUUCUGCUUCGGUCUGAGGGGGCGGCUCCUACUCCGACCACCGUGGGUUCACAGCUCUCCGGGCAGAGACCCCACCACGGCCUUGGGGUGAAGGAAACAGGCAGCAUCUCAUCACGCACGUUCUGAGGAAAUAAGUUGCCACGUGGAGGGCCCAUGUGGCAAGAACUAAGGGCAACCUCCAGCCAAGGUAAUUAUGCCAGUGAGGAUCUCAGGCCCUCAGUCUAACGUCCCACGAGGAACCGAAUCCUGCUAACAACCACUGAGUGCAUUUGCAAGUGGAUGCUUUCCCAGUUGAGCCUUCAGAUGAGACUAUGGACCCAGGACCAACACCCGGAGAGCAGCCUCGUGAGAGAAUGUGAAGCAGAGGAGCCGGCUAAGCUGUGCCUGGAUUCCUGACCCACAGAAAUUAUGGGAUAACAAAGCCACAGUGAAUUAGCUCAAGGAUGUCUGUGCGAUUCAAUCAGAGACAAUCAGAGCUGAUCCUGAGACUUCUGUAAGAUCAGAGGGGAAAGAGAUGUUCUGUCCCUUAGUCUCAGGAUUGGGAGCUGCCCAAAGGUUACCUUCUGAAGACGAGCGACCUGAGAAUGAAACAACACAGCACCAUGAAAUAGAGAUUCCAGGCCCUGAUGACAUUGUCUGAGCCCCUGGAUCCAACCUUGCCUGAAGCUUUACCUAUGGAAGUUUUAGUUAUAUAAUCUAAUAAAUACUGUUUACUGCUUAAGUCAUUUUCUGUGGGGGUUCUGUUAUUUAUUAAAGCCUCU